rnacentral:misc_RNA from 1 species
UUGUGGAGGAGGACGCCGAAGGUGGGGCUAAUGACUGGGGUGAAGUCGUAACAAGGUAGCCGUACCGGAAGGUGCGGCUGGAUCACCUCCUAACAGGGAGACAACAAAAUGUUUAAUAUUAUUAUUUUGUCACCUUAGGUCGAUCGGUAUCUCACGUUUUUAAUUUAUUAAGAAUUUCAUUUCCUAAGUUUUUCUAGGUCACACCCAUUAUUUUUCCUGGGCCAUUAGCUCAGGUGGUUAGAGCGCACCCCUGAUAAGGGUGAGGUCCCUGGUUCAAGUCCAGGAUGGCCCAUAUCUCUAUGUUGGGGGUAUAGCUCAGUUGGUAGAGCGCCUGCUUUGCAAGCAGGAUGUCAGCGGUUCGAGUCCGCUUACCUCCACUGAUUACCACCUCUUCCAUAACAGGUACAAAGGAAAUGUUUUGAGUUGUGAUCAAAUUCUGAAAGAAUCUAGCUUCCUAAUGAAAUCAUUAAGAUGCUGGACUCAUUGAAUUAAUUUCAUUGUUUUCAGAGAACCUUGACAACUGCAUAGAUUAUUUUUAAAGACAAUAAGCAUCUUUAAUGAUGCAGAUUUAUUAUUUGUGCGAAUGCAUUAAUAACAAUUCUAUUAAGCUGAUGCUUCAAUUUUGAAGUUAUUGGUCAAGCUACAA